UUAACUGUUACAUUAUUUUUCCAGUUUUGAUGAAAUAUUUUAGAAAUAUACUUCGUAAUUCGUACAAGAACAAAGUAAUAUCUGAUACUUUAAAUUGUCCAGAAGAGUCUUCCACAAUGCUUAGCUCAUUGACAUAUUCCUUCUUUAAUUUCGGUUCAAUACAUUCAACUAAAAAUAUUAUACAAAUAACUAUCAGUAUUAUUAACAGAUUACAUCUGUCUCAUUCAAAUUUAUUAUAUUUAAAAUAUUACGUACCUAGCCAGCGAUUAUCAUUGUAUAAUAAUUGAACAAAGUAUUUAUCUUUUGUUUCUUUGUUGUGUGUAAAAAGGUGACCUUUAUAUGUUGACAAUCCUUGUCCUCUUGAAGACUUAUAUGUAUGUCUAAGUUUAUUUUGUAAAUCUGAAAUGCGCGUUUAAUGGCUUCCCACUGUGAAACUUUUCCUUUCUUCCUGCCUUCUAUUUCUGAAAAUAUAGAAAAGCAAAAAUAUGAAUAGAUUUUCAAGAUGAUAAACCAUACAAUGUUGAAUUUAUAAACUUCAAGAUGCACUCACCUAGCUCUAAAUUUAUUAUCUCUGUCGCUAAAGCAUCUUUUUGUUUUUUUGUUUCUUCCAAUUCAUUCUUUAAAUUCUCUUCCAAUUUUAUCACAUUAGAAAUCUUCUUGUCUAUUACUUCCUGUUGCAAUGUGGUAGUGUUUAUGUUACAUAUUACUGUAUCAAUCUUCUGUUGCAACUCUGAUAUCUUUGUAGCAUUGACAGACUUCUUGUUAGCGCAAUCUAUAUAAUGUAAAAGCAAAAGAUUUUCUAUUUAUAUACAUGAUUUAAAUUUACAAACAUUAUUAUAUAAACAUAAUAUUAGUUGUUCAUCGAUCUUUGAUUAUUAGAAUUUGCAAUAAUAUACGAAAGUGACAGUACCUUCUUCAUAAAGGAGUCUCUUUUCAAUUUUGGCAGUGACGCAUGCUUGAAACUCCCGACAAGAUGAUAUUAAUUUCUCCAGGAUAGUAUAGUCAUCAUUCUCGAGAACAUCCAGUAUAUCACACUUUAAUUCUUCAAUAUUCAUGGCACUUGUAUAAAUAGUUCUUUGAAAAUCAACUGAUUAAUGUAUGUAUGCACGGCAUUGCACGGUUGCUCCGUUUAUAACCAUCAUGCGUUCAAAACUUGUUGUGUAGCAGUGGUAUCAACACUUGCACUUUAAAUGCACUAGAUGAGAGUUCUGAGUCGAUAAAAACAGACGUGACAUUACCAGCUGUUUUGAUUGCAUCAAGAACAUGAAAAAAUCUUAUGCUAAAUAAUUAUUUUAUUAUUGAUGAUGGAAAGCUCUACAUAUCUGUAAUAAAAACUAUGGAAGGUUUCGUUGGAAAUUCAACAAGAACCAAGAAAUAUGAAAACAAAAAAAAAUGCAUGAGAAAAGAACAGAGGAAACACACAUAAACAUUAUUAUAAAAAUGGAAAUUUUGAAGAAGAGAAAGAAAAAAAUAUAUAACUUUUUAUGUAUCCAGUUAUUUAGAAAGAAAAAGUAUAGAUGUACUUUUCAAAGAAUUUUUCAAAAUAUCGAGACGCGAUUUUAUCUCGUCGCCUUGCAACCUGAUGACUGGCUCAAUCCUGUAUUUAAAACGUCUUAUAUUAUUUUUCUCAGAAGAUGACAAUGAAAUUAUAUAUAAUAUGCA